UACGUAGGUGGCAAGCGUUAUCCGGAAUUAUUGGGCGUAAAGCGCGCGCAGGCGGUUUCUUAAGUCUGAUGUGAAAGCCCACGGCUCAACCGUGGAGGGUCAUUGGAAACUGGGGAACUUGAGUGCAGAAGAGAAAAGCGGAAUUCCACGUGUAGCGGUGAAAUGCGUAGAGAUGUGGAGGAACACCAGUGGCGAAGGCGGCUUUUUGGUCUGUAACUGACGCUGAGGCGCGAAAAGCGUGGGGAGCAAACAGGG
rnacentral:rRNA from 1 species